rnacentral:rRNA from 1 species
AUAUUGGACAAUGGGGGGAACCCUGAUCCAGCUAUGCCGCGUGUGUGAAGAAGGCCUUUUGGUUGUAAAGCACUUUAAGCGAGGAGGAGGCUACUUAGAUUAAUACUCUAGGAUAGUGGACGUUACUCGCAGAAUAAGCACCGGCUAACUCUGUGCCAGCAGCCGCGGUAAUACAGAGGGUGCAAGCGUUAAUCGGAUUUACUGGGCGUAAAGCGCGCGUAGGUGGCCAAUUAAGUCAAAUGUGAAAUCCCCGAGCUUAACUUGGGAAUUGCAUUCGAUACUGGUUGGCUAGAGUAUGGGAGAGGAUGGUAGAAUUCCAGGUGUAGCGGUGAAAUGCGUAGAGAUCUGGAGGAAUACCGAUGGCGAAGGCAGCCAUCUGGCCUAAUACUGACACUGAGGUGCGAAAGCAUGGGGAGCAAAC